GGGCCCGUAGCUCAGCUGGACAGCAGCGACGCCCUUCGAAGGCGUAGGUCGGGGGUUCGAGUCCCUCCGGGCCCGCCA
rnacentral:tRNA from 2 species